rnacentral:rRNA from 1 species
AUCCUGGCUCAGGAUGAACGCUAGCGGCAGGCCUAAUACAUGCAAGUCGAGGGGUAGAGUAGGCUUGCUUACUUGAGACCGGCGCACGGGUGCGUAACGCGUAUGCAACCUACCUUUAUCUGGGGGAUAGCCCGGAGAAAUCCGGAUUAAUACCGCAUAAAAUCACAGAAUGGCAUUAUUCAAUGAUCAAACAUUAAUGGGAUAGAGAUGGGCAUGCGUGUCAUUAGCUAGUUGGCGGGGUAACGGCCCACCAAGGCGACGAUGACUAGGGGAUCUGAGAGGAUGACCCCCCACACUGGUACUGAGACACGGACCAGACUCCUACGGGAGGCAGCAGUAAGGAAUAUUGGUCAAUGGAGGCAACUCUGAACCAGCCAUGCCGCGUGCAGGAAGACUGCCCUAUGGGUUGUAAACUGCUUUUAUCCGGGAAUAAACCACAAUACGUGUAUUGUGCUGAAUGUACCGGAAGAAUAAGGAUCGGCUAACUCCGUG